UUAAUCGAAGCCAAAAAGAGGCAUUUCAUUGUUAAUGAAAUAAAUGAUUUAUAAAAUCCGAUUAAA
rnacentral:tRNA from 1 species